rnacentral:pre_miRNA from 1 species
GAACAGAUCAAAUCAAGCAUCAUAUCGUGGACACGGCAACCAUAUACAUACCCUUCAUUAUAGCGUGCCUUAGAUUGAUACCCUUGAUAUUGUACCUCC